UAUAAUACGAAAAGAGAAUAAGAAAACUUGUACAAAAUCUUCACAACCACUGGCAUUCAACUAUGGCAUCAGAGAAGGGAAGUUGUCUCAGUUCUUCACAACAACAACAUAUUUCAAAAAGGUCUUAAGGAGAUCAAUUUGAGAUAUUGUAAUAAAGUGGAGGCUGAUGUCGUUGUCUCAGAGGUUUUAUCAAGGCCAUCAUCAAAAAAGAGGAAACUCUUCGCAGAAGAUGAGUGUAUUUACUUCUAUUGAAUUUUAACUUUAAAUUGUUAGAUUUUUUGGUUUUUAGAUUUGCUUCAUUUACAAAUUACUCUUUUAUUUUUAAAAUACCAAUGUAAUGCACACAGUUGAGUGUUAUAUGAAGUUUUGUAUUUUAAUGUUUUUCCUUACUAUUCCUGGAAUUAUAUUUACUUGGAUUAGAUUUUUGUGUCUCUAGUCUUAAAUGACAGACUUAUGUUCUUCGUUCAUACAGUGACUAAAUUGGCACAUUAGUUACCACAUUAGGUUUACAUGACAGACUUUGUAUUCAAGGAAAGACUACAAACAUCCUAAUUAAUACGGAUAGAUAUCAAACAUUCUUCCGUUUUGCAUCUUAACUAAGACACCCCAGUGCAGAAUUUUCUCAUUGAUCAGGCAAGAGCAUUACCAUUAUCAUUAAGUUCUUAUUUCAUGCAGCAAUGAAGUGAUCAAAAGAGAGGAGGAAGAGGCUCCCUACUUUAUAGACCUCCCUACUUUCUUGGUCACCCCUGGUGAAAAACCAAAAAUACCCCUACUUCGGAAAUGCAUUUCCGAAGUAAUUUUUUUUCAAAAUUUUUCCAGAAUUCAGAAAUGCACUUUCGAAAACAUGAAAUUGGAGUGUUUUCGGAGUUGAAUUUCCGAAAACCCCCAUUUUUGGAAAUUUCGGAAAUAUACUUCCGAAAAAUGUAUACCCAGAACAACUUCCAUGGUUGAAAAAAACAUAACUCCCGAAAGCCCUUUUGUUAUACUUCUUUGAUUUUUGUUGUUGUUCUCCUCUAACAUGUUUAAUGUACAAUGAUGAUGUUGUUGUUGUUGGGAGUAUUUGAUGGAUUAACAAUAUACAAUCUUAGUUUUACAUUUUGUUUUCUAGCUAAUCCCUUUAGAUAUAGUUCUAAUCUGUAGUGAUUAUUAUGCAACUUGUGAUGGAGUUUUUUUUUCAGAUUUCAUAUAGAAUCUAUUGUCUUGAGUGGUGCAAGAGCUAAUAAUUAGGUAGAAAGUGCAGAGAAAUGCUGGCCAACCUUUCUGGAUCUGCUUACUGCUAGCGAAGAGGAAAAGGAAUGCUUGUUGCUCUGGAUUUCAAUAAGUCAUGAAGUACAUAUGAAUUUGGGUGACCAAGACGCUUAUGCCAUAUUUGAAAAUCAACAGUAGCUGAAUUGCAAGAAACAAAAUGUAAUAAAGAGCGUGGAGACAAAGAUAAAUAAAGAGAAAAAAGAUGUUCAACUCUAGGCCCCUUCGCAAUCAGUUUCCCUGAGUGUUGAUCAUGCACAAGACAACCAGAUUUUGAGAAUUCAACUCGGCAAUUAUUAUCAACUAAUUGUCCGACAGAAAUAAGAUUACUAGUGAGACUAGGGGAAAUAUAAACAUUGGUUAAAGAGGAGGAACUAUCACCAAUUUAUGUGAUAGGUAAAUUAUUCUCAUCAGUUGUGUGAAUUUGAAGAUCACUAGAAUAUUUUGUAACGUUUGUAAGAGUAUCAACAUUGUUGGUUAUAUGAUUGGAGGCCCCAAAGUCAAAAUACCAAUGAGAACAGGAAAGAGAAGGUUUAUCUGAAAUUCCUAAAGCAGAAAAAUCUGAAAUUAUCAUUUGUUAAACCAUUUAAGGAGUCAUGUUCUGGACAUUGGUGGAAUCAAUCUGAUCCAUACAACCAGUUGUAGAAGAGGAACCAACAGAUGUAGUAAAAGAGGGUACAGUUUUCUUUGGAGGUCUUAUAGGGCAUUCCUUAAUGAUGUGGCCUUCUUUUUUUUCAAUAGUUAUAGAACUUGUUAGGAGUGUGUGAAGCAAAAUGUCCAAGUCCUUUGUAGCAGAAACAUUGGACAUCACUCAUAUCUCGUCCUCUAGGCUUGCCAUGUACAACAUAUGCAACUGGAAUAUAAGACGAUUUAUGUUGUUCCAUUGUUGUUUGAGUUAGGAGGCUUGUUCUUCACGAAGAAACUCAUUAAAGCAUGUAUCAAAAAUGGGGACAAUGGCUCUAUUCAUGAGA